ensembl:lncRNA
GUGCACUUUCCCUUCUUCUCCCCUUCCCCAACGAAAAGCACAAACGCACACACAACAAAAAAACCCAAACAAACCCCAAACUUGUGCAGCUCAAGAAGCAACCUGCCCCCAGGCCCAACCCUAUAGCCCUAUAGAGACAAAUUCCCUCCCCAACCUUUAAGGUUCUGCCUCCAGCAGCCCCGACCGCUGUGCCACUCGGACAGGGGGAGAAUUUCAUCCCCAAAAGUCACUUUUAUUCCUCUGAAAUCACCUUUUAAUCCCUCUCUACGGAGCACAUUCUCACGUCCCAUCCCUUUUUCUAUCACAACCAUCGCUCCUGCCCAUAUUACAGCAUAGGGUGAAACACAGGCGGAAUAUUCUGCCCAUAUUUCCCCCACCCAAAAGGGAACUGGGAGGAACAGCGGACGCACACACACCACAAAUGACAGUUUUGAUUUCCACGUCCCGUUCGGAACGAUCCCAUUUGUUACACCGCGCGCGGAGAAGCGACCCCAUUGUUACGCCACGGCCCUAUUUGUGCACGCUUAAAAAUAAUCAAAUUCGCCCAAAGGACCCAAAUCUUCCCCCAGAUCAGCUUCGUCUCUCGAGCCCCGUGAAUGCAGAUGCGGAUUUCUUGUUGCUGAUAGAUUUAUUCUCGCUACCUCUCGCGGGCUGCGCUCCUCUGAGAGAGAGCUCUGAGUGCUUUUCGAGCUCAUUUUGUCACCCCGAUGCUAUGGACCACCGCAUCCCAAUGGCUGAGCCACCACCUGGAUGGCCGUAUGGAAACCACCCACCUCCCAGCAACCACACCUGCCCUUCACUUCGUCAGGGAUUUCACUUUAACGACGCUGCCUUCCCCAUUCCUCUUCUGCUCCUCGAGAAACAGGAGAAUACCCCCUCUGCUUUCUAUGUUUCCUCUCUUUGUUGUGUGAUUUAUGAAAGGAGUUUUUCUUCGUGUAUCUUUCUUGCUGUGAGCUGAGGACCCCCAAAAAGGGGCCGCUCCCACCCCAGAGUUCAGAGGAGCCGCUCUGCCGCAUGCAACGGGCUUUGGGUGGGCACGGAAGAGUCCAUCUCCAUUGGGAAGGUGCUCAAGGAGCAGAUCUUUGUAGUUGGUUUGGGAAUGGGCUUCAAACCGUUUGAGUUGGACAGGAUGACUUUUAAUGAUCCCUUUGAAAUGAAAUGAUUCUAUGAUUUGCACACCGCUGAGUAGCUUUGGUCUGCGGAAAGGCGAACCAAUCCAGCACCCAGCAGGAGUCAGACUGGCGAGGUGGGAGGAGGCAGAGAAACCAAUCCAUGGAGCACCCCCAGAGGAUGCUGCACAUGUCCCAAGGUGAUGACAAUGGCACCUCCCUCCCUGCUCCACAGUGCUCACAGGGGAUGGAAGAAGGACCCUGCAUUGCUCUAUAGGGUGAGAUGACACCACGAGAAAGCAGCAUUUAGGAGCAGAACGGCCUUUUAAGGAGAAAAUGCAACCAAAAAAAUUGUCCUUUCACAGGGGAGGGGGGGGGGUGGAAAUAAAGAGAGACCCAAAUAUGUUUGUGUUGGUUGUUGUCCUUUUUCUCUUUCCCCUCUCAUUUGGCAUACACAUCAAGAAGUUAUUAAAAGGAACUUGUUAAAUAUCUCAUUAAUGAAGAUGAAUGAAGACUCAGAUUUGCUUCUAAACCGUUCAAAGCAGUUUUGUUCUGGCCUCCCAAAGUGCGUGUGUGUGUGGAGAGGGAUCCCAAUAGCUUA